UUUCCAAAUCAAGCCACGAGCUCAAGUAUCUGACUCUUUAACAGCUAGCCUAUUAUCUCCCUACCCCUGUCAUGGUUAUCGCCGGCUCCUGAAAGUUCGUCUCUCUUUCUCUCUCUAUCGAUAAAUUCCUCCCCUAUCAAAACGCAAAGAUCAUUCCUUCUCAAUAAUCUUGUUCCACAACAAAACACUCCCUCCAUUAAAACCAAAGUUCAAUUUCCCUCUUCUCUCUCUUCCCUCACCGUCCUCCCCAAUUCUCUCACACCCAGUUUUCCAAAUCCCUCUCUUUAAUUCCCUCUCUCUCUCUCUUCUUCCAUUAAAACCAGAGUCAAACUACUCCUCUCGCCUAAGGUCCCUCUCUCUGCACUUUAAUCCAGGUCCUGAUAGCUGAUCACAGUAAGCAUAUAUCAUUUUUAUUUGGGUUUUCCUAAAAAAGGAAUACAGAGGGGUAUUAUGGUCAUUUCACAAGCAUUCUUCCUGCCAUUAAUGAAUAGGCGGCAGAACGUGUAGGGGGCAUGGGGGUUGUAGCCUAUAUCUCCGGGAACUUCUCUCUCUAUCAUGCAUUUCAUUCCCGCUUCCAUUCUCUCUCCAACCGCUAGAGAGAGAAACUGUAUUUUAUUCCUUUGGUGAUGCCACUAGCCAUGGCCGUUUCUCACUCUAGAAGAUGAACACCGGACCAGUUUCUCUCUCUAACUCCCAUGGCCAAACGAGUUUAUGAAGUUUGGAAAGGAAACAAUAGGUUUUCCUUUGGUGGACGAUUGGUUUUUGGGCCAGAUGCAAGGUCACUCCUUUUAAGCAUUCUGCUCAUAAUUGUUCCUGCUACAAUUUUUUGUGUGUUCAUUGCAAGGAAGCUUCUUCACAAAUUCCCCAAUUACAAUGCUGGCUAUGCAAUACUGGUGGUGGCAAUCGUUGAUACAAUCUAUGUUCUUGGGCUGCUUCUUAUAACUUCAGCACGAGAUCCUGGAAUCGUUCCUCGUGCUCCACAUCCACCAGAGGAAGAGUUCUAUGAUUCUUCAGUUUCAUUAGAAGGUGGCAGUGGGCAAACACCCAGGCUACAGUUCCCUCGCACCAAAGAUGUUGUGGUCCAUGGUGUGACUGUGAAGAUCAAAUACUGUGACACAUGCAUGCUGUAUCGCCCUCCUCGUUGUUCUCACUGCUCCAUCUGCAAUAACUGUGUCGAACGCUUUGAUCAUCAUUGCCCUUGGGUGGGCCAAUGCAUUGGAAAGCGCAAUUACCGAUUCUUCUUCCUGUUCGUUUCGUCUUCAACCAUUCUCUGCGUAUAUGUUUUUGCCAUGUCAGCCUUGUACAUUAAACUUCUUAUGGAUGGAGGUCAUCAUACAGUUUGGUGGGCAUUGAGAGAAUCUCCCGCAUCAGUUGCAGUCAUGACCUAUUGUUUCAUUUCUGUAUGGUUUGUUGGUGGUCUCACUGUCUUUCAUCUCUACCUUAUAAGCACUAACCAGACCACAUAUGAAAACUUCAGAUACAGAGCGGAGAACCGGCUCAAUGUAUUUGACAGAGGUUGUUUAAGUAACUUCCUAGAGGUAUUUUGGACGAGGAUACCUCCUUCAAAGAAUGACUUUCGUGCCUUGGUACAAGAGGAGCCAUCAACAAGGCCUUCUGGCCUUCCCACCCAAGGAGAUGUAGAGGGUGAGGACUUGGCAGGCUAUCGACGCACCAAAGUGGAGGCUGAUCUCGAGUUAGGGUGUGAGCUCUCGAAGUUCACAGGGCGUCGAGAUUCUGAAUCGGAAGUUGUGGAUGAAACAAGGGGAAGGAGUAGUGGAGGACCCAAUAUUGCCUUAGAGGCUGAGCUUUUACGAGGAUCAGCUCGAAGUCUUCCUUUGAGUGGUGGAGAAACAUACAAUGAAGGUCAUCCAAGGCGAUCAAGUUGGGGUCGGAAAAGCGGGAGUUGGGAGCUCUCACCGGAUCUCCAUCCGGUGAGUUCUCCUGGUGUUGAAAGUGGAAGGUUUCAUGGAGGUGGCAACACCCCAGUUAGUAAGUGACGCAUUUUAUCUUUUCGAAAGUUGGAGAAAUUGGUCUACAGUGAAGGUUGUGGAGUCAGAAUUGGUUGUUGCGGGGAUCCCCUUCUUGGCAUUGCUUUGACCGGGGAAAAUGAGAAAUUCUCAAUUUAUUGUAUACAGUAAAUAUAAAGGCAAGCCAUAUGGGCAGGUGCUAAAUCUGUGCUGCUCUUUAUUCAGGCCGUAAUCAAGGGAAGAAGUUAAACCUGGCAACCAUGGAAAGCAAUAUCCAGAACAUCAAUACAACAUGUGAAACAUAACUGGGAAUAAGGAUACACACCAGCUGAGGAUGGAUGGAAGCAGAGAGUAGCCUUCCUGUUCAUGUAUCUAACGUACAAAUUAUUACCCAUAAUCCAAGGAAUAUUGAUCAUGCCAAUUAUUUGCAGUACAUAGUGAAUGAGGUUGAAGGCUCUGCAUAAUAGCUGAGUUAACUUAACCACAAUGGUCGACGGAUACUGUUACCGCAUGUUCUUAAGAGCAUAGUUGGAAUCACGAGCAAUUAGCUGUGGUGUGUACCGUUACCGCAUGUCCUUCAGAGCAUAGUACUGUUGGUCGACGGGAACUCUUACCGUAUGUCCUUAAGAGCAUAGUUGGAAUCACGAGCAAUUAGCUGUGGCAGUCUGGUUAUGGUUGGGCCUGGUGAUGCAAUUGAUGUUCAAAAUUACAAAAAAUGGCUUCAAGCUCCAAAGAGAAGACUGCAAGGAGACCUUUGUUUUCACCAAAUAAUAACCAAACAUCAUGGAUGUUUAUAAAAUUGAAAAAUAUAGAAAGAGAUUAUUUAUUUUUA